AUCCACCCUUCCCCAUCUUUUAUGUUGUUUGCUUCAUCUUUUUCAUAUUACUUGGUCUUUAUAUCAAAAUAUAUAUUUUAGUUUACUUGUCUACUUCAAAAAAAUUACGAGAGUUUGAUUAUAGUUUUUCUCUUUUUAUCCUCAAUAUUAAAUAACUAUAUAAAAUAGUAUUAGUCAAAUUUAGAUUCUAAAGUAUUAUUAACAACGUUAAUUUAAUGAAAUACUUCUAAUUU
rnacentral:lncRNA from 1 species